rnacentral:rRNA from 1 species
AAUAGAUACCCGGGUAGUCCACGCCGUAAACGAUGAGUGCUAAGUGUUGGGGGUUUCCGCCCCUCAGUGCUGCAGCUAACGCAUUAAGCACUCCGCCUGAGGAGUACGGUCGCAAGACUGAAACUCAAAGGAAUUGACGGGGGCCCGCACAAGCGGUGGAGCAUGUGGUUUAAUUCGAAGCAACGCGAAGAACCUUACCAGGUCUUGACAUCCCGGUGACCACUAUGGAGACAUAGUUUCCCCUUCGGGGGCAACGGUGACAGGUGGUGCAUGGUUGUCGUCAGCUCGUGUCGUGAGAUGUUGGGUUAAGUCCCGCAACGAGCGCAACCCUUAUUCUUAGUUGCCAUCAUUCAGUUGGGCACUCUAAGGAGACUGCCGGUGAUAAACCGGAGGAAGGUGGGGAUGACGUCAAAUCAUCAUGCCCCUUAUGACCUGGGCUGCACACGUGCUACAAUGGACGGUACAAACGGUUGCCAACCCGCGAGGGGGAGCUAAUCCGAUAAAACCGUUCUCAGUUCGGAUUGUAGGCUGCAACUCGCCUAC